GGUGCCCUCCCAUUGGGCAUACAAAACUUCCAAACUGAUCCUAUCAGCCACCACUACCUGCUUCGCUUCAGAGGACAGCACACCAAAGCGAGUAAUAAAAUGGUACCGCCUCCUUAUGAAGACUGAAAGUAGCCAUGGAAGAAAAUGGACUUGAGAGAGGAAAAGCUGUCCCUUGACCGGCCACUGCAAAGACUCCAUCAGAAACGCUCUUUCACGGCUCCUGGCAGAUGACAUUGGAGGCUGCGGGGGUAUUUACUUUAGGGUGACUGCUAAGGAUGGUGCUGGGCAGGUCGAUUCACCCCUGUAAAUUUUGGGCUGGUCAUCCAAAGAAUCUGUCCUUUUUGUUGCCUUGUUUGAAAAUACAGGCCUUUAAAAUGACACCCUUAU